rnacentral:rRNA from 1 species
UACGUAGGGUGCAAGCGUUAAUCGGAAUUACUGGGCGUAAAGCGUCUGUAGGUGGCUUUUUAAGUCCGCCGUCAAAUCCCAGGGCUCAACCCUGGACAGGCGGUGGAAACUACCAAGCUGGAGUACGGUAGGGGCAGAGGGAAUUUCCGGUGGAGCGGUGAAAUGCGUAGAUAUUCGGAAGAACACCGGUGGCGAAGGCGACCUUCUGGGCCGCAACUGACGCUGAGGCACGAAAGCCUGGGGAGCGAACGGG